AGGAGGACGGGAGGCACCCCCGGUCCAGCAGGCAGCGGGCGGUCCCCCGGGCCCACCCAGCACUCCAAGGCCAGCCAGCUUGGCUCCAGCAGGGCGGGCCCCACAUCCGCCUGCCCCACCUGCAAGCGUCAGGGACCCCGACCCCGCGGCUCCUCCGGCCGCUCUUGAGAAAGGCAGAGGGCCUGGGGCAGCCAGCCUGGCCAAGCCUCGGUCCCCAGAGGGCCUGUCAGCUCUCACCCGAUAACCUGUCUGAGUCACUCCAUGACUGUCAUUCUGUCUCCUCUUUGCAAGUCGGCCUCGGCACCUCACGGCCCGUGGACAAACCUGGAAGCCCUUGCCUGGCCGUCGUUGGAGCCACGUGGCCCCAGGAGCGCCCGGGCUCAGCCCAGCCAAGACGUCCCCGAGCCUGGCUCAAGCUGCACACCGCCCACCUCCGCGUCCCCACACUCCCCCCCACCCCACCCCCGAGGGUGUCUUGCCCUGAGACCUGGGUGGGACCUCUCGUGUUCAGUGUCCAGAACUGGGCCUGGCUCACUGGGGAGAGAGCAAGGCGAACGCACGCAGACACACAGGCCUGACAAAGGCUCACAGCUGUUGACAGAAAGAGCCCGGGACACACCUAGAGGCGGCAGGAGAGACUUCACGCAGGCCCCUGCAGUGGGGAGAGACCCCACAAGGACUCCAGGGUUUAAAGGGAGAGCAGGAGUCUCCCGGUGGCUCAGCCAGUUAAGCAUCUGAGGCUGUCACUGCUGUGGCACAGUUUCGAUCCCUGGCUCAGAACUUCUUCAUGCCUCGAGUGCGGCCAAACAAUAAAUAAAUAAAGGGAUGACGUUUUCGUUGUGG
rnacentral:lncRNA from 1 species